AUGUCCUUCCUGGAGAUUGAUGCCCUGUGCCCGAUCGAUCGCACGCUUCUAGUCUGGGGUGUCGCCUCAGAGAUCUGUUUGGGCUGGGCAUGCAAAAACAUCAACAUACCUUUGGCUAGAGACUUACUACAUCCGUCCUUGGAAGAGGAAAAGAAAAAACAUAAAAAGAAAUGGCUAGUUCAAAGUCCAAAUUCUUAUUUUAUGGAUGUGAAAUGUCCAGGUUGCUACAAGAUUACCACGGUUUUCAGCCAUGCUCAGACCGUGGUUCUUUGUGUAGGUUGUUCAAUAGUGUUGUGCCAGCCAACAGGAGGAAAGGCCAGACUCACAGAAGGGUGUUCAUUUAGAAGAAAGCAACACUAAUGAUCCACACAACUUCCUGAAUUUGUUAUAUCACAGAAAGCCUUAUCAGUUCAGUAAUUCUAGUUAAUCUACCAAGAUAAUGUCAUUACAUUUAAUUUUGUAAGUACACAACAGUCUCUCCUAUUUUGGUGUCAGUUUUUCAAUAAAGUUUUAAUUAUGGG